UACGGAGGGUGCGAGCGUUGUCCGGAAUCACUGGGCGUAAAGGGCGCGUAGGCGGCGCGGAUAGUCGGCGGUGAAAGCCCGGAGCUCAACUCCGGGUCGGCCGUCGAUACUUCCGGGCUUGAGCACUGUAGAGGCAGAUGGAAUUCCGGGUGUAGCGGUGGAAUGCGUAGAGAUCCGGAAGAACACCGGUGGCGAAGGCGGUCUGCUGGGCAGUUGCUGACGCUGAUGCGCGACAGCGUGGGGGAGCAAAACGAGGA
rnacentral:rRNA from 1 species